GACGAACGCUGGCGGCGUGCCUAAUACAUGCAAGUCGAGCGGAUGAAAGAGGAGCUUGCUCCUCUAGAUUCAGCGGCGGACGGGUGAGUAACACGUGGGCAACCUGCCCUGUAGAUUGGGAUAACUCCGGGAAACCGGGGCUAAUACCGAAUAAUCCUUCGGACCUCAUGGUCCGAUGUUGAAAGACGGUUUCGGCUGUCACUACAUGAUGGGCCCGCGGCGCAUUAGCUAGUUGGUGAGGUAACGGCUCACCAAGGCCACGAUGCGUAGCCGACCUGAGAGGGUGAUCGGCCACACUGGGACUGAGACACGGCCCAGACUCCUACGGGAGGCAGCAGUAGGGAAUCUUCCACAAUGGACGAAAGUCUGAUGGAGCAACGCCGCGUGAGUGAAGAAGGUUCUCGGAUCGUAAAACUCUGUUGUGAGGGAAGAACAAGUACCGGAGUAACUGCCGGUGCCUUGACGGUACCUCAUUAGAAAGCCACGGCUAACUACGUGCCAGCCGCCGCCGUAACAC
rnacentral:rRNA from 1 species